ensembl:lncRNA
AUGAGCACCAGGAAGAAGAACAUCCCUAAGUACUCAAAUUUCCAGAGCAUGGAGUUGGAACCCACAGAGGCCGAGGACCAGGAACUCUCUGAAUUGGACUCACUUUACCAGUCUAGUCUGCAGGCUGGCCCGGGUCCUGGCCGAGCCCUGUGUGGUACCAGCUCACCUGCUGUUUUGAGACCAGUACUUCCUGCUGCACGAAAGCUGCUCACUGGAGUCGGACGCUCUCGGACCCCCACGGCUGAACUUGAGAGAACCGCUUAUGGACCACCAGGUUGUUGCAGCCCUACUGGAUAUAUGAACAUGCCCCCGUCAGUGGCCCAUCAAGAGCCUCAGUCAGGAGAGGAAGACCAGUAUGAUGCGGAUCACCUGCGCCGUAUUGCUCGCAGCCUGAGUGGAACGGUCAUUGGCCGUCGCCAGAACCGUCUUGCCGUCUCCCGAAGCUUCCUGGGAGACUCCGGGGUUACGUCAUAUCACAACUCCAUGUACUCACCUAGUUGCCUUCAGUUUCCAUUGUCUCAUUCAGACCUCCAUCUGCUCCAACCCAGCUAUCUUCAUCUUCUUCCAUCAUUUUCACCCCCGUCUCAGAAGCCUGGGCCUUCCAGAGAGGCCCCAGGUAAAGCUCACUCUUGUUUUCCACAUACAUAACCACCUCAUCCAUUCAAAGGGCCAUUUCCCUCUUGUUCCGCAUUCAUGUUUCUGCCAUUGCAUUGCAAUUGAGUCCAGGUGCCAGUGGCCCCCCCACUAAACAGUCUGCAUUCGCUUCAUUUUCGUUUCCUGCUGUUGAAGGAGCUCCUCUUUCGUUGUUGCUUUUUUUCUUUGAUUGGUCUGGUUCCUGUCCUUCACACUCCAUCCUACCCCACUGCAGGACGUCUCCAGAGGUUCUCCGAGUUUCUGGCUGUGUUUGACCGGCGUCAAGCUCUCUCCAGUGGGAAGCACUACGGUCCAGCAGUGAGGUGUAUUGGAAGACAUCCUCUCUGAAGUUCUCACCCAACCAAUUGGCUUUGGACCAGGUCCUCCAGCCCUGGAACAUUUCCACAGAUGUGUUUGUUCCCUUCUGCACACCUCAUCCCAUUCUCUUCACAGUUUCCUGGAGAACUGAAAGGAGCACGUUCAGAGACCUGAUGCCAUCCUCAAUCACCCUGCACUCUGUAUUGUUCCUGGGAUGAUGCCCGUCUGUUACCCUGCUAUAGUCGGUAAAUCUUUCCAUGCAGAAGCCCCUGAAGCUCGAUCCACAGCAUGACGGAAAGAGACACCAAAACCAACUUUUUUUUUAUUUAUGAGCACUGGGAUGGCGUGAUUCUUUGGGGCUGAGGUGUGUGUGUAUGACUAACCUAUAGUCAGACUUUCAGCAUGCAAUGAUAGGAGCGUGGGGUCCAGAUUUGGACUCCCGCAGUGAGCCAUCCAACCCAGAGCACUUAACUUAAUUAACCCCAACAUUCAAUUAAUUGCAGAGGAGAAGCAUACGGUACCUCCUUGCUGCACUAGACGGUAAAUGUGUGUUUGUGUGUAUGCGUGUGUGCAUGUGUUGGGUGGUAAAAGUGGAGGGGCUUAUUGUAACCCUGCCCUCAUUUAUACUACAGGUCAAAAGUUUGGAAUGAUUAAGAUUUUUUUAUAUAUAUUUUUAAUAAGAUGUCUCAAGUGAUCAAAAAUACAGUAAAAACAGUAAAAUUGUGAAUAUUAUUACAAUUUAAAGCAUUGUUUUUCAUUUGAAUAUAUUUCAAAAGAAAUAUUUAGCAGCUUGACAGUUUUUAACAUUGAUUAUAAUUGUAUCAAUAAAUGUUUCUUGAGCACCAAAUCAGCAUAUUAGAACGAUUUCUGAAGGAUCAUGUGACACUGAAGACUGGAGUAAUGGAAUAAAUUACACUUUAAAAUAUAUCUAAAUAUAAAAGUUAUUUUAAAUUGUAAUAAUAUUUCAUAGUGUUUUUAUAAUCUUUUUAAUCAAAUAAAUGCAGCAUUAGUGAGCUUACGAGAUAUUAAAAACAUUUUAAUUAUUCCAAACUUUUGACCGAUAGGGUAAUAAAAACCAUUCUUUACCCUUUCUCCUCGCCUGUUCCACAGAUACAAGUUCUCAGCAAACCAACGUCACAGAAUCGUCAUCGCUUUGCUGAACAUUUUUUCCCAAGCAACUCUCCUGCGAACGUUUUUUGGUAGCAGGAUGGGUUAAUGUCAUGUACAUGUACAUGUAGAUGCUAAGUACUUCAACCUGUACUAAGUGAAUCAAGAUGUUUUGUACGGUGUCAUCUCUCAGCUCUGGUGCUUUUUGUCGAAGCAGGCAUGUAAAUCUGUGGAAUGAGACCGUCUCUUCUAACCUUUUUCCUCCCUAUUUCUCUGAUACGGGCAUUCCCUGUAGCACACAGCUGUUUUGUGUCUCGUAUUACAGGCAAAGACUGUGUACAUGUUUGACUGAACAUACACUAACAAAUGAAUUUAUUGUUAAUAAAAAAACUACAACAUCUUAAGGAAUAUACAGAGGAAUGGAGAAACUACGCAAUGACGUUAUGGAAUGUUAAUCAAUUCUAGUGGUAAUAAUUAUUAUCUGCAUUAAGACAAGUAUAGUACACUUCAGAAGUGUAAAGCUGGAGAAAAACUGCUAUUUUAAUUCCAUUGACAGUUCUCCCAUUUAUACAGGGAGAUAUGCCAAGUUAAGCUUCCUUUUUAUUGUUUAUUUUACUUGAUUCGAUUUUUUUUUUAACUUGCAGUGACACUGAAACCACAGCUAUGAGUCUGGCACAUGAUGGAUCUUCAGGCCUGUAAUGAUUGAGGGGUUUCAUUCCAUUCGAUUUUUUGUAGAAUCUAUAUUAUUUCUAGAUUUUACUUUAAUCAACACAGCUGAAGAAUGUUCGGCCCUGAUAGCAUAGAUAGCCUGCAAUUUGGACAGUAUUAUGUAUAUGGGGCCUUGAGCAAGGAAUGCUUUCAUACUGUUAUUCAAAUAAACGUAAUAGGAUUUGUGAGAUAUAUUAACGAUACUCCAAUACUGAUCAACAGAUGAUUCAUAUCACAAUAUAAUAUGAUUAAUGCAGUAUUUCACUUUUCAUUCUAAUCAUAUUG